rnacentral:rRNA from 1 species
UACGUAGGGUGCAAGCGUUAAUCGGAGUUACUGGGCGUAAAGCGUGCGCAGGCGGUUUUGUAAGACAGAGGUGAAAUCCCCGGGCUCAACCUGGGAACUGCCUUUGUGACUGCAAGGCUUGAGUGCGGCAGAGGGGGAUGGAAUUCCGCGUGUAGCAGUGAAAUGCGUAGAUAUGCGGAGGAACACCGAUGGCGAAGGCAAUCCCCUGGGCCUGCACUGACGCUCAUGCACGAAAGCCAGGGGAGCAAACGGG